GACGAACGCUGGCGGCGUGCUUAACACAUGCAAGUCGAACGGAAAGGCCCUGCUUUUGUGGGGUGCUCGAGUGGCGAACGGGUGAGUAACACGUGAGUAACCUGCCCUUGACUUUGGGAUAACUUCAGGAAACUGGGGCUAAUACCGGAUAGGAGCUCCUGCUGCAUGGUGGGGGUUGGAAAGGUUCGGCGGUUGGGGAUGGACUCGCGGCUUAUCAGCUUGUUGGUGGGGUAGUGGCUUACCAAGGCUUUGACGGGUAGCCGGCCUGAGAGGGUGACCGGCCACAUUGGGACUGAGAGACGGCCCAGACUCCUACGGGAGGCAGCAGUGGGGAAUAUUGCACAAUGGGCGGAAGCCUGAUGCAGCAACGCCGCGUGCGGGAUGACGGCCUUCGGGUUGUAAACCGCUUUCGCCUGUGACGAAGCGUGAGUGACGGUAAUGGGUAAAGAAGCACCGGCUAACUACGUG
rnacentral:rRNA from 1 species